GGCCGGGCGACGGUUGUCCCGGUUUAAGCGUGUAGGCUGGUUUUCCAGGCAAAUCCGGAAAAUCAAGGCUGAGGCGUGAUGACGAGGCACUACGGUGCUGAAGCAACAAAUGCCCUGCUUCCAGGAAAAGCCUCUAAGCAUCAGGUAACAUCAAAUCGUACCCCAAACCGACACAGGUGGUCAGGUAGAGAAUACCAAGGCGCUUGAGAGAACUCGGGUGAAGGAACUAGGCAAAAUGGUGCCGUAACUUCGGGAGAAGGCACGCUGAUAUGUAGGUGAAGUGACUUGCUCAUGGAGCUGAAAUCAGUCGAAGAUACCAGCUGGCUGCAACUGUUUAUUAAAAACACAGCACUGUGCAAACACGAAAGUGGACGUAUACGGUGUGACGCCUGCCCGGUGCCGGAAGGUUAAUUGAUGGGGUUAUCCUCGCGGAGAAGCUCUUGAUCGAAGCCCCGGUAAACGGCGGCCGUAACUAUAACGGUCCUAAGGUAGCGAAAUUCCUUGUCGGGUAAGUUCCGACCUGCACGAAUGGCGUAAUGAUGGCCAGGCUGUCUCCACCCGAGACUCAGUGAAAUUGAACUCGCUGUGAAGAUGCAGUGUACCCGCGGCAAGACGGAAAGACCCCGUGAACCUUUACUAUAGCUUGACACUGAACACUGGUCCUUGAUGUGUAGGAUAGGUGGGAGGCUUUGAAGUGUGGACGCCAGUCUGCAUGGAGCCGCCCUUGAAAUACCACCCUUUAAUGGCUGGUGUUCUAACGUGGGCCCGUAAUCCGGGUUGCGGACAGUGUCUGGUGGGUAGUUUGACUGGGGCGGUCUCCUCCUAAAGAGUAACGGAGGAGCACGAAGGUCAGCUAAUCCUGGUCGGACAUCAGGAGGUUAGUGCAAUGGCAUAAGCUGGCUUGACUGCGAGCGUGACGGCGCGAGCAGGUGCGAAAGCAGGUCAUAGUGAUCCGGUGGUUCUGAAUGGAAGGGCCAUCGCUCAACGGAUAAAAGGUACUCCGGGGA
rnacentral:rRNA from 1 species